AGCAGCUGAGCUUUAAUUUCAACAUUCCUGCAGAAUGCUCUGGAAAGUCUGGGCCAGCCACGUGCAAAACUAUGUCCCAGAGUUGAGCAGUGAUGAAACCAGCUUUUCUGCGAUGGGAAAGGAGGGAAACCUCAAAGUACAACCAAAGAGCAGCAGCAGGGUAUGUCUCAACUCCAUUUUUUUUUAUCUUGAGGGACAGAUGAGAAGCCAACACUGGUGGUGCAAAAACCAUCCUGCGGACCUUCUGCUUGUCCUCCAGAUACCAAAGAGUCAAAGACGACAAGAGU